rnacentral:rRNA from 1 species
AGGACGAACGCUGGCGGCGUGCUUAACACAUGCAAGUCAAGGGGGCGGAGCAAUCUGCAACCGGCGAACGGGUGCGUAACACGUGAGCGACCUAUCGUGGUGUGGGGGAUAGCCGGCCCAACGGCUGGGUAAUACCGCAUGCGCUCCUUGGGGGGCAUCCCUUGGGGAGGAAAGUCUUCGGACGCACGGCGAGGGGCUCGCGGCCUAUCAGCUAGUUGGUGGGGUCAUGGCUCACCAAGGCAUCGACGGGUAGCUGGUCUGAGAGGACGGCCAGCCACAUUGGGACUGGAGACUACGGCCCAAGACCUCCGUACGGGAGGCAGCAGGUGGGGAAUCUUGCGCAAGUGGCCUAAGGCUGACGCAGCGACGCGCGUGUGGACGGACGCGUCGUUCGGGGUAUAAACCCGUCUCGGUUCGGACCCCGGGAACGAAACCG